AAUCCCGUGAACCAUCGAGUCUUUGAACGCAAGUUGCACCCGAGGCCUCUUGGUCGAGGGCACGUCUGCCUGGGUGUCA
rnacentral:rRNA from 1 species